CAAUAGCGUAUAUUAAAGUUGUUGCAGUUAAAAAGCUCGUAGUUGGAUUUGUGGCGUACGGUGGGUUCCGGGCACUUGUUGUCUGAGUAACUUGCUGUUGCCAUCCUUGGGUGGAACCUGUGUGGCAUUAGGUUGUCGUGCAGGGGAUGCCCAUCAUUUACUGUGAAAAAAUUAGAGUGUUCAAAGCAGGCUUAUGCCGUUGAAUAUAUUAGCAUGGAAUAAUGAGAUAGGACUUUUUUGCUAUUUUGUUGGUUUGCGCAAAGAGGUAUGAUUAAUAGGGACAGUUGGGGGUAUUCGUAUUCCAUUGUCAGAGGUGAAAUUCUUGGAUUUUUGGAAGACGAACUACUGCGAAAGCAUUUACCAAGGAUGUUUUCAUUAA
rnacentral:rRNA from 1 species